rnacentral:rRNA from 1 species
UACGUAGGGCGCAAGCGUUGUCCGGAAUUAUUGGGCGUAAAGAGCUCGUAGGCGGCUUGUCGCGUCGGAUGUGAAAGCCCGGGGCUUAACCCCGGGUCUGCAUUCGAUACGGGCAGGCUAGAGUUCGGUAGGGGAGAUCGGAAUUCCUGGUGUAGCGGUGAAAUGCGCAGAUAUCAGGAGGAACACCGGUGGCGAAGGCGGAUCUCUGGGCCGAUACUGACGCUGAGGAGCGAAAGCGUGGGGAGCGAACAGG